UGAUUUCCAAGGAACGGAUGAGUACGAGGACUUCACUUAGUAAAGAGAGCCGGAGUAGCUGUGAACCGGUCUAGGUGAGACUCAGAAUAUGGUCCGGGAGGAAUUGUUCUCGAGCGCCGAGGGUAUCUAUGGAUAUUCUACGUAAGGGAGCAACGUGAGCCAGCGUUAAUGGACAGUUCUCGUUUAAUACGGGACUGAUGGAGCCUGUCACUUGCAAAGGUACAGGAAAAUUGGGUGGUAACACGUGAGAUAACUCUCGUCCCAUAU
rnacentral:ncRNA from 1 species